rnacentral:rRNA from 1 species
UACGAAGGGUGCUAGCGUUGCUCGGAAUCACUGGGCGUAAAGGGUGCGUAGGCGGGUCUUUAAGUCAGGGGUGAAAUCCUGGAGCUCAACUCCAGAACUGCCUUUGAUACUGAGGAGCUUGAGUUCGGGAGAGGUGAGUGGAACUGCGAGUGUAGAGGUGAAAUUCGUAGAUAUUCGCAAGAACACCAGUGGCGAAGGCGGCUCACUGGCCCGAUACUGACGCUGAGGCACGAAAGCGUGGGGAGCAAACAGG